rnacentral:rRNA from 1 species
UACGAAGGGGGCGAGCGUUGUUCGGAUUUACUGGGCGUAAAGGGUGCGUAGGUGGCGAGGUAAGUUCGAUGGUGAAAUCCUCCGAGCUCAACUCGGAAAAUGGCAUUGAAUACUAUCCCGCUUGAGGGUCGGAGGGGAGACUGGAAUUCUCGGUGUAGCAGUGAAAUGCGUAGAUAUCGAGAGGAACACCAGUGGGCGAAGGCGAGUCUCUGGACGACUCCUGACACUGAGGCACGAAAGCUGGGGAGCAAACAGG